CAAUAGCGUAUAUUAAAGUUGUUGCAGUUAAAAAGCUCGUAGUUGGAUUUCUGGUAGGAGCGACCGUGCCGAACUUGAUUGUUCGAGUAUUGUGUUGUCUUCAGCCAUCCUCGUGGAGAACUUUUCUAACAUUAACUUGUUGGGAUUGGGACCCGCGUCGUUUACUGUGAAAAAAUUAGAGUGUUUAAAGCAGGCAUUAGCUUGAAUACAUUAGCAUGGAAUAAUAAGAUAGGACUUUGGUACUAUUUUGUUGGUUUGCAUACCAAAUUAAUGACCAACAGGAACAGUUUGAGGAUAUUCGUAUGAACAUGUCAGAGGUGAAAUUCUUGGAUUUUGAUCAGACGAACUACUGCGAAAGCAUUUAUCAAGGAUGUUUUCAUUAA
rnacentral:rRNA from 1 species